rnacentral:rRNA from 1 species
GGACGAACGCUGGCGGCGUGCUUAACACAUGCAAGUCGAGCGGUAAGGCCCUUUCGGGGGUACACGAGCGGCGAACGGGUGAGUAACACGUGGGUGACCUGCCCUCAGCUCUGGGAUAAGCCUGGGAAACCGGGUCUAAUACUGGAUAUGACUCCAUGACGCAUGUUGUGGGGUGGAAAGCCUUGUGCGGCUGAGGAUGGGCCCGCGGCCUAUCAGCUUGUUGGUGGGGUGAGGCCUACCAAGGCGACGACGGGUAGCCGGCCUGAGAGGGCGACCGGCCACACUGGGACUGAGACACGGCCCAGACUCCUACGGGAGGCAGCAGUGGGGAAUCUUGCGCAAUGGGCGAAAGCCUGACGCAGCGACGCCGCGUGAGGGAUGACGGCCUCGGUU